rnacentral:tRNA from 2 species
GCGAGAGUAGCACAAUGGUAGUGCGCCUGCCUUCCAAGCAGGAUACGGGGGUUCGAUUCCCCUCUCUCGCU